ACAGUUGUAAUGUCACAUGAACAAGAACAGUGAAAUGUCUUUCAAACUCAAAACCCAACAAAGCAAUAAAUCAAUAACAAUGUAUUACUAGAAAACAAGAAAUACUAGAAAUAAGAAUAAGAAAUAAAGUAAGAAAGUAGCACACUAUAUAAAGUAACUAUUUAAAAAAUCAGUUCAGUACCAUAUUAACAUGUUAACGUGCUUUUACACCUGCAUUGUUUGCUGUUUGGGGUUUUAGGCUGGGUUUCUGUACAGCACUUUGAGAUAUCAGCUGAUGUACGAAGGGCUAUAUAAAUAAAUUUGAUUUGAUGUACAGGGAUACUGGAGUGAUGGAGGUAGAUAUGUAUAGGGGGGAGGAGACAGGGAUACUGGAGUGAUGGAGGUAGAUAUGUAUAGGGGGAAGGUGACAGGGAUACUGGAGUGAUGGAGGUAGAUAUGUAUAGGGGGAAGGAGACAGGGAUACUGGAGUGAUGGAGGUAGAUAUGUAUAGGGAGAAGGAGACAGGGAUACUGGAGUGAUGGAGGUAGAUAUGUAUAGGGGGAAGGAGACAGGGAUACUGGAGUGAUGGAGGUAGAUAUGUAUAGGGGGAAGGAGACAGGGAUACUGGAGUGAUGGAGGUAGAUAUGUAUAGGGGGAAGGGGACAGGGAUACUGGAGUGAUGGAGGUAGAUAUGUAUAGGGGGAAGGAGACAGGGAUACUGGAGUGAUGGAGGUAGAUAUG